UACAGAGGUCUCAAGCGUUGUUCGGAUUCAUUGGGCGUAAAAGGUGCGUAGGUGGCGGGGUAAGUCAGGUGUGAAAUUUCGGAGCUUAACUCCGAAACUGCAUUUGAUACUGCCUUGCUUGAGGACUGGAGAGGAGACUGGAAUUCACGGUGUAGCAGUGAAAUGCGUAGAGAUCGUGAGGAAGACCAGUGGCGAAGGCGGGUCUCUGGACAGUUCCUGACGCUGAGGCACGAAGGCCAGGGGAGCAAACGGG
rnacentral:rRNA from 1 species